UGUUGUUUCUGUGGGCCAUUUUCUUUUUUUUUCGGUUCUUUAUUAUUCUUAUUUCGUACGUUUUUUGGUUCACCGUAACUUCUGCAUACUUUCAGCUAUUUAAACCAUUCAACUUUUCAAAUCUUCAGUCUUUCAGCAGAUGAUGGGACUUCUUCAAUUGUUUUUCAACUAUUUAUACUUUUUCAAAUAUUAAGCUUUUAAACAUUUUAUUUUAACAUUAAAAUCAAUAAGAGCAAGCUUCAAAUCCUUCAAAUCUUCUGCUGCUUAAAAAUGUAUCUCCUCCUACAUUUUUUCACCGACAGACGUGAUUCAAACUUAAACCAUUCACGAAACAUUCAGGUAUUCAGGGUGUGCUCAGUGUUUUGUGAAAAAGCUGUUUAAGUAUAGUGAACAUUUUAGGCUUUUUCUGCAUUAAUAAUGAGUGUGUAUUGCGUGAAGC